rnacentral:rRNA from 1 species
UACGAAGGGUGCAAACGUUGCUCGGAAUUAUUGGGCGUAAAGCGCACGUAGGCGGCUUUUCAAGUCGGAUGUGAAAUCCCUCGGCUUAACCAAGGAAGUGCAUCCGAAACUGGAAGGCUUGAGUACUUAAGAGGAUCGCGGAAUUCCCGGUGUAGAGGUGAAAUUCGUAGAUAUCGGGAGGAACACCAGUGGCGAAGGCGGCUCACUGGCCCGGUACUGACGCUGAGGUGCGAAAGCGUGGGGAGCAAACAGG